GACGAACGCUGGCGGCGUGCUUAACACAUGCAAGUCGAACGGAAAGGCCCUGCUUUUGUGGGGUGCUCGAGUGGCGAACGGGUGAGUAACACGUGAGUAACCUGCCCUUGACUUUGGGAUAACUUCAGGAAACUGGGGCUAAUACCGGAUAGGAGCUCCUGCUGCAUGGGGGGGGUUGGAAAGUUUCGGCGGUUGGGGAUCGACUCGCGGCUUAUCAGCUUGUUGGGGGGGUAGUGGCUUACCAAGGCUUUGACGGGUAGCCGGCCUGAGAGGGUGACCGGCCACAUUGGGACUGAGAUACGGCCCAGACGGCUACGGGAGGCAGCAGUGGGGAAUAUUGCACAAUGGGCGGAAGCCUGAUGCAGCAACGCCGCGUGCGGGAUGACGGCCUUCGGGUUGUAAACCGCUUUCGCCUGUGACGAAGCGUGAGUGACGGUAAUGGGUAAAGAAGCACCGGCUAACUACGUG
rnacentral:rRNA from 1 species